UACGGGGGGGGCUAGCGUUGUUCGGAAUUACUGGGCGUAAAGGGCGCGUAGGCGGUCUGCUAAGUUGGAUGUGAAAACUCUGGGCUUAACCCAGAGCCUGCAUUCAAUACUGACAGGCUAGAGUUCUGGAGGGGAUAGCGGAAUUCCUGGUGUAGCGGUGAAAUGCGUAGAUAUCAGGAGGAACACCGGUGGCGAAGGCGGCUAUCUGGACAGAAUCUGACGCUGAGGCGCGAAAGCUAGGGGAGCAAACAGG
rnacentral:rRNA from 1 species